rnacentral:rRNA from 1 species
GACGAACGCUGGCGGCGUGCUUAACACAUGCAAGUCGAACGAUGGAGCCGGAGCUUGCUCUGGUGAAUUAGUGGCGAACGGGUGAGUAACACGUGAGUAACCUGCCCUUGACUCUGGGAUAACUGCUAGAAAUGGUAGCUAAUACCGGAUACGACCCUCGGAGGCAUCUCCAGGGGGUGGAAAGAAUUUCGGUCAAGGAUGGACUCGCGGCCUGUCAGCUAGUUGGUGAGGUAACGGCUCACCAAGGCGACGACGGGUAGCCGGCCUGAGAGGGGGACCGGCCACACUGGGACUGAGACACGGCCCAGACUCCUACGGGAGGCAGCAGUGGGGAAUAUUGCACAAUGGGCGCAAGCCUGAUGCAGCAACGCCGCGUGAGGGAUGACGGCCUUCGGGUUGUAAACCUCUUUUAGUAGGGAAGAAGCGAAAGUGACGGUACCUGCAGAAAAAGCACCGGCUAACUACGUGCCAGCCGCCGCAGUAA